AGAAACCCCCACCGGCACGACCCCUCCCACGCCUCCAGUGCGCCGCCACCCGCCACCACAUUGCUGCGCGCCACCCCCCACCUCCAGUGCGCCGCCUCCAGUGCCCCGCCACGCUGUUGCGCGCCGUCGGGCGCGGCGACGGCGAUCUCCGGCCAGAUCCGGCUGAGGAGGCGAGUAGGAGUCGGAUCCUGUUCCGGGGACGGUGUGGAGAUGAUCUAGGAGGCGCGGGAAAAGGUCCAGCGGCGGGGCUUGAACUCCAAGUUCUUGGCGGCGGCGUUCCUCGCCGGUUCCGAGCGAGCCACCUCCAACAGAUUCUGCGUCUUGCGGCGAUGGUUCGUAGCCACAAUCUUCCCUCGCGUCCGGGCUCCUCCUCCUCCUCCUCCGCCCGAACAAUCGAUUCCCACCUAGCCGGGGAUGGCGGCGCGCGAGGACGCCAGCAGCAGGAACGGCGGCGUGGAGGCCUUCCUGGCGUCGUACGCGGUGUCUGGCGACGACGCUUACGGCGCAGCCAGGGCCGUGCUUGAGCGCCUCCAGGCCCCCGCCACGUGCGCCAAGGCAAGGCGCCGUCCGUCGCCGCCUCGCUGACGACCCCGCCGCCGGGCAGGAGGAACGCUUCCGCGCCUUCAACCUCCGCAUCCACGACGUCGUCCUGCAAGAUCAGGGCGCCUGCGACGUGACACAGUCGUUUUCUUCGGCCGAGCGCUGAAAAGGGGACGACGGCUGCAUCGCCAUGCCAUUUGUAGCUCAAGAUUUGUAAGCCGCACAAGGUCAUCUCUACCGCUUCACUUCUGGGUUGAAGGUCAAAGUCGGCGACCUGUAUACAAGCUGUCCCAUGGCUGUUCGCUGUGGGAUGUGAUCGAGAGGUGAGGCCUCUUUGCCUGUUGAACAGGUGUAGGGCCUCCCGCUUAUUCCUACUUUCUUGCAGUCAAAGGACGGGGUUCAGUGAAACCAGAGCAAACUAAGGUCUAUGGUUAUCUCCCGAAAAAAAGGGUGUAUGGUUAUUUUAAUUCACCGUUCUUUCUUUUAGAAAAGUCACUGUUAUUCGUAGCCAUAUGAUACAUGCAUGUGUGUCAAGUUUCAUUUGUAAUAAAUUACAUUAGCUGAAUUUAAACAGAUUAAGUUUCCUAAUGCAGGGCGAAAGCAUAGUGUAUUCAGUUUGAUCUUGUUCCCAUAUUUAUUUGUUCUCGGCAUAGCUAAACUCUCAAAUUGUAAAAUCAUUUGUCCAGUUUACAUAUUUUCAAUCAGAAGUCAUCUUGUUUUGUUCAUAAAUUGUGUCAUUUAUAGUUUAACUUUCCUCGUCAUGUAAUUAUCUGUUUCUAGGUAUUGGAGGGCAUAGCACAUAACCUGUGGGCCAAUAGGCUAAGGUUUUCAAAUGUUAUUUACCCCUCGUGUCUAUUAUAGGCUAGGUACAUUUCUGCCAUCUUAUUAAGUACUCAUAUUUCUAUAUAAUGAACUCAGAUUUUAAGACAAUAGUCCUUUCCCGAUAAUAAAAGAUGUAUUUUAUGAGGUAGUACAGUCGUAGACUUUUCUUAUGUUCUGAUUUGUCAUUCCACCUCGCUGAAAGAGCUUGUAAAUUUGUAAUUGGUUCAACAAAUAGCAUACACUUUCUUUCUGUUUGAAAAGUCUGAACUUUGUAGCUCAGCGGCUACUUUGCGGGUGUAUUUAAAUCUUUUGGCCACACUAGGAAAGGGUAGACUAUUUUAGGUGAUAAGUGGGUUGGUUAAUGUUGUAGUCCCUUUUUUAUUGGAAUGUUUUAUGUUUCUCUACAUUAGUUUUGGUAGAAAAUCCACAUCUACAAUGGCAUCUCUUCCGUUUUUGGUGUUCUCCUGAAAGAGCGAAGGGGCAAAGGGUUUCUUCAGUAUUGCACAAGACUUUGAUCUAUCUGGCUGGUUCUGCUUCAGCUGGGGUUAUUGGCUUAUUGCUGAUGUUUCCCUCUGCUCUAUGGAGGCAGCGGCAUAUGUAGGAUUCUUACAUACAUAUGCUUGAGGGGUACAUUUUUCUUUUGUUUCUUCAGUUGGGGUGUAAAGAGUAAAAGAAAAAAAAACUCCACUAGACACGUACAUUUUUCUUUUGAGGGGUACCCAGCCAUGUGCGUAUGCUCGAGCUAUAGAGAAAAAAAAUUGUCGCUCACUCUGGAACCCAUCGAUCAAUUGGGGGAAUUGCAGUUCUGGUCUGAUGGCCUUUUAAGUGCUAGGCCAGCUGCUUAGUUAAUGGCUUGAGGGGGAAAUAUAAAGGGUGUUAGAUGAUAGGAGGUGCGCAGGGCUGCUUUGCUACAAGGCACUAAAUUUUCAGAUUAUUAUAGCUAGCAAACUGCACAUAUAUGUAUAAACCUUGGUAAACGUCGAAGUUGAUUCGGUCGUCGGUGAUUCAGCGAUGAAUGAACUAAACCUCAUGGUCUGCAAUUGGUAGUAGUAGUUGUUUGUUACUGAACUUUGAAAUUGAUUCAGCGAUGAAUGAAUUAAACCUCAUGGUCUGUAAUUGGUAGUAGUACUUGUUUGUUACUGAACUUUGAAAUUGGUUUGCGUAAAUUUGGAAUAUGCCUGACAUAUUUUACUCGGCCGCGGUUCAGCUAUUAGGUUUGCUUCAAAAUUUUACUUUCUGUGAGCAUCACUUUCUUAGGGCAUCUGAUUCCUAACAGCCCUCUAAUGGAUUCAUUAUGCAUAUGCAUUUCUCAAUAGGGAAAAAGGAAAAACAUCUAUUAUUACUAGGUAAAAAACCGCGGAUGACAAAGUGAGCCAAAAGCAGGCUCGAGGUUUCUUAUCCUAAGCACCUGACCUGAGAUAGCUUCUAAAAAAUCCAUAAUCAGAAAGGGUCAAGGAAAAUUCAUAUGAGAUCAGAAUACAUUGAUCAAGCGAUUUAUUUAGAGGAGUAUUUUAUUACAUGCGUGUGUAGUACGGGUUGUUGUUUCACAAUAGUUUUCAUGGCCUCUAAGCAUCAUUAUUCAUGUGUGAACUUUCAAUAUUUGUGAUUUUGGUUCUGGUUGCAUAAGAAUUUAUCGAAUGCUUUUAGGAUCCCAGCAAAUAAGGAAGCUAACAAUGAUGGACAUACCUAGCAUUUUUGGGCCCGGAGAUAGGUUCAUCACUCUCUACGAGGGCAUAAAUCAUCAUCCAGAUCCAGAUUCCAUUUUCAGGAAUAAGACCGUCGCACAGCUAGGAUGUGGCAAUGGUUGGAUAUCCAUUGCGCUUGCAGAAAAAUGGUGCCCUUCCAAGUUAAUUCAAGGAGGACCCUACAUCUAAACGUAACAGAUCAGCUUAUAUCAUAAUUCCAUUGCUGGAUUUCUAGAAGAAUGAAAAAGGGAGAAAUGGUUGUUUCAUUUGGUGUGCGAAUCUGGUUUAAAGUGUGCCUGCUUAUAUCUGGUAGAUCUUGGUUGCAAAAGUAUAUCAGGAAGAUCUUGGUUGCAAAAGUGAUCAGAUAUACUCCUCUGUACCAAAAUGUAAGACGUUUUUUUCAGUUCAAUUGAACUGCAAAAAUAUCUUAUACUUUCGUACGGAGGGAGUAAUAGUCAACACAACUAGGUUGGUUCUGUAAUUAAAUGCCUAGCUAAGAUCUUGUAGUUUUGAAUCAAAUAGUUUGACUACACAAAGAAUUAUAUUUACUUUGUGUAAGAUCUUGUAAUUCUGAACCAAGUUAAUCCUAAAUC